CCUAGACCUCACUUAAGGGUUGGCAGUGGAGCCAAGGCUAUCUUGUUGGGGAUCCCUUCGUAACUGAGGCCUUCUGAAGGUGGAAUAGAUGAAGAGAGAAAGAGUUCGCCGAGGAACUACUUAACACCGGUUAGGAGUCAGCAGGGAUUUGGUAUACAGGUUAGCGGAGGAAAGAGCAUACAGAAGGAAAAAGGAUAAUGAGAUGCUUUCCAUUUAAAUUUGAAAACUGCUUGGGUUGUCCUUACAAAUUUAUCUCUCCAGUGAACAUCAGAGUUGAAAUUCCUCUUGCCAAUUUUUCUAUUUCCACAAGUUGGUGGUGGCCGGAAUACUGGCCACAUGUGAUUGGAAGAACAGAAGACUUAGAGAUGAGAAGCAGAUUCCUAUUGAGGUCUACUGAGGUUUGAGUAUGGCCAAGAGAUGUAGUAGUGUGCAGUGUCGCUGACUGAAGGCAGCCAUAUCACAUUUGUAACAAGUUCAUUCCAGGACCUCAAGUGCCUGUGAAACUAAACUUGAUGUUGUAAUAACUGCCUUUCACUUCAGAUCAAGAACGUACUCUGGAAAUGAGAGACUUUGCAUGCUAUUUCGUAGUUUUGCUGCCUGACAGGUGAAUUUAUAUAGCAGCCAAUUCCCUCCCUUCUCGUGCCCCUGCUGUGAUGGUGCUUUUUUCUUCUCUGGGCAUUUGUAAUUCUGGGGGGUAUGAAAAGAAGAAUCAGGAAAGAUGUGAAAAGACGUCAUCAAUUAUUUCAAAUAAAUCUAAUAAACUGAACAGAUGUUGGCUGUCUGUUUCCAAACUUUCCUUGGGAAAGAAAUCCUUUAGAUUUCCUUUUUAUCUAAGGUCUUCUUUGCCAGAAUGUAGAUAUUAUAUGCAGUAACUCCACAUCUAUACAGUAAUCACUUCCUAAUCACUUAUCUUCAAAUUCCUGAAGUACACCAGUAUCCAGGUUUUUCCUGAUUGUUUUCCAUGCUUUUGAAGGAAAUUGACAUUUCCUUCUUCAUACAUCUGCUUAAAUUCCAUAUUCUUUAGGAGCAGUGUGUUUAUGGAAGGUGUAUAAUGAUAGUGCUGGAGUUUUAAAUGCUAGGUAUAAGCUGUUUUAAAAAAAGAUCCAAUGGCAAAUUUAAUUUUUGCAUAUUUGUUAAGAUUAAAUUCUUUGCACGCUUUUUUGAAGCAAAGAAACUUUCUAUCUCA